rnacentral:lncRNA from 1 species
GGUUCAGGUGCUCAGUUACAGGUUCAACAGUGAUUCUUCGGGCACGCUAUUCUAUAUCCUCUGUUGUGGUGAGUCCUUAUGUUCCGAGGAUGUGAUGUCUGAUGUUGGUUUCACGAAAUUGUUUACAUUUGAUAACUGAGUAUGUGUCAGUUGGGGCAUUUCUCAAUGGCUCGCUGGUUUUAUUGAUUUUUCUUAGAGGCUUGUAAUACUAGUAUAGAUGAUGGGAG